GCCGAAGUAGCUCAGUUGGUAGAGCAACGGUAUCGUAAACCGUGGGUCAGGAGUUCAAAUCUCCUCUUCGGCU
rnacentral:tRNA from 1 species